GCUCGCGUGGCUCAGUAGGUAGAGCGCACCCUUGGUAAGGGUGAGGUCACCGGUUCGAUUCCGGUCGUGAGCACCA
rnacentral:tRNA from 1 species